UCUCUUCGAUUCGGUGCAUGCACCUGCCAAAGGGGUGCUGCGAUUUGGGUCAUUCAUCCUUCACCUACGUCGUUCCUCUUGCUUCGGCGCAUGCAUCUUCGAGAUCCCGUAUCCCUUGCUUUCAAUCUUGAACAAUGCAGGUCUAUCACAAUCUUGCAGUGGAAUCGGUUUGAGCGGCUGGCAGAGACGGGGCUCAACUUCUUCAAUCCAUUGUCCGACAAAUGUCUGGAUACUGAAGAUUGUGUGUAUUGACGCCAAGUUCAACUUUGAAGGUUUAAAGGUGCUCUCAUUAUAGAAGGAGAUGCAAGAUCAGACCUCUCAAAUGUGCAAGAUUCGAAGCUAUGUCAUGGAUUCUCAAAGAACAAUACUUGCGUUUUGCUUCCAAACAGCUUAUUUGGCAGUCACAUAGAUGAAUCGAUUCCUUGUAGGGAGACCCAAUAUUAUUGUAAGACCAACUUUAUACUUAUUAAUGCAAAUCAUUAAACACUUUCAGUUCUAUGUUAUGUGUUUUUGCAAACUAUG